AAUAAGAAGGCAGAGGAGAAAGGCUACCUGUCUUGGUUAACAUCGUCCUUAAAAGCUCCAACACCUGUUUCCUUCGACCAAAGUCCAAACACUCUCACUACUCUUUACCUUCUUCACAAACAUCUCUCCAAAGUUUCAAACUUCCUACUUCCUAGGACAAACACAGAUCUGCAUUCCUAAAGUUGCAGAAUUCUGAAGACACCUCAAACUUGAAGGCUGCAGAAGCUUAGAGGGGGUUCCAUUCUGGUCUUGGAUUUAAGAUAUUGAGAGACCUCUUGUUAAGAUGACAGAGACAUUGGAGUGAUGGAAGGGCUUUCAAACGGAAGUUGCAUGGACCAGAAAGCUAAGUUUCAUUGAUGCUAACCUUUAUCCAAAAUGGAAAAUGGGAAAAAUUUGAAUGUGACUGGAACAUUAGAUAACCUUAUGAUGAAGCCCAUGGAUCAAAUACAACGCACUACUAGAGGCCGUCUUGACAUUACAACUCGUCGCCUGAAGAACCGAGAACGGCAACGUAGGUACAGGGCUCGGAAACGGCUAGAAGAAGAAAUCAAGAAGUCUAGUGUUAUAAAUCAGUCAACUCCCCCACAGGUAGAUUUGCAACAAAAUGUGAUUCAUGGCCCUUGUAUGACCCGAGUGCAUUGUAAACGAGAUUGGAAAAAAGAUGCAAGAAAGGCCCACACUUCUAAGGAUCAAGAUGUCAUAUCUAAUGUUACUGUUACAUUAACUAGUGAAAGUCAGACACCAUGCUCUACAAAUGGAAUCAAGGCAGAAACAUCAUUAAAAAGAGAAUGUCAUUCUGAGAUAUCUCAUAGCCUGGUCAGUUCUGAAACGCAUAGAACUAUAGUUGGCCGGAGAGACUGGAAAGCAGAUGCGAGAAAGAAAAAAUGCUAGAGUAUCAGAGACCUCCCGAAUAUGUUUCUUUUCUGAAGUUGUAAUGACUCAAAAAAAUUCUCUUGUGCCGACUCCAGUCAUGAUUUUGAAGAAAACUUUUGUUAUUUUCUUUUAUUUUUUUGGUCACUUUUACAGCCGUUGCGAUUGCUGUUGCAGAUGAAGAAGGGAAUUUAAAAUAUGCCUAGAAGAGGUACCACUAGGUUACUGCCAGAAGGAUAACAAUGCCAAUGACAAUCUGAGUUGUGAGUUCGCAUUAGUUAGAUGUCAGUAUAAUAAUCAAGAAUGAUCGUAAUGUAUGAUGUUAAUGUAAGAUCUGUCCAUGAAAAAUAUGAAAAUUGUCCAUCAUGAUGUUAAAGUGUA